rnacentral:lncRNA from 1 species
GAGCUGGGCGCCGGCCCCGGGCUGCCAGAGGACGCGGCCGGGACGCUGCUGCCGCUGGCCGCCGCGCUGGCCGCGCUGGUGCUCGUGCUGGGGUUCACCUGCUUGCUGCUCGCCGCGCUCUGUGGCCACCUGGGCGCCGAGCUGGCGCGGGGGCCUGGCCCCAGGAGUCUGACUGGUUUCUCUACGACUGCCGCCUCCUCAGACAUGUGGCCCUUGGCCUUUUCUGCUGUGGGAUCUCCGUCUAUUUAGCAGGUGUGUGCUGGAAUAGAACGUGGGGCAUGGGACCCUGGGCUGGGUAGAGAGCAGCAAUGGUCCCCUAACUGGGAUCAACUCUGCAGACAGCCUCCUUGAGUUCAACUCCAGGCUCUGACACUUCUUUGCUUUGGUGCCUUGGGCAAAGUCUCUCUGUGCCUUGAUUUCCUCAUCAGUACAAUGGGAAUAACUGUCAUUACCUCACAGAAUCACUUGAGGAGAUUCUGAGAUUUAAUCCUCAUGAAAGCCCAUAGGACCAGGCAUAGUAGCUCACAUCUGUAAUCCCAGCAAUAUGGGAGACUGAGGUAGGAGGAUUGCUUGAGGCCAGGAGUUUGAGACCAGCCUGGGCAACAUAACAAAACCCCAUCUCUACAAAAAAAAAAAAAAC